rfam:Gossypium arboreum cultivar AKA8401 contig_8840_5, whole genome shotgun sequence.
AACCCAUGGUGAGGACACCUUCUCAAGAGAUCCUUGUAUCUCUCCCAUGCAUCAAAGAGUGUUUCGAGAUCCUUCUCAUAAAAGAAGAGAUAUCAUUUCUCAACUU